GCGUGAGUGAAGAAGGCCCUAGGGUUGUAAAGCUCUUUCAGCGGGGAAGAUGAUGACGGUACCCGCAGAAGAAGCCCCGGCUAACUCCGUGCCAGCAGCCGCGGUAAUACGGAGGGGGCUAGCGUUGCUCGGAAUUACUGGGCGUAAAGGGCGCGUAGGCGGACUUUUAAGUUACGUGUGAAAGCCCCGGGCUUAACCCGGGAAUUGCGCGUAAUACUGGGAGUCUUGAGUUCUGGAGAGGGUGGUGGAAUUCCCAGUGUAGAGGUGAAAUUCGU
rnacentral:rRNA from 1 species